CCUGACGCAGCGACGCCGCGUGGAGGAUGAAGGUCUUCGGAUUGUAAACUCCUGUUGCUCGGGACGAAAAGCCUCGACCUAACACGUCGAGGUCUGACGGUACCGAGUGAGGAAGCCCCGGCUAACUCUGUGCCAGCAGCCGCGCUAAUACAGAGGGGGCAAGCGUUGUUCGGAAUUACUGGGCGUAAAGGGCGCGUAGGCGGCCCGCUAAGUCGAACGUGAAAUCCCCGAGCUCAACUCGGGAACUGCGUCCGAUACUGGUGGGCUUGAAUCCGGGAGAGGGAUGCGGAAUUCCAGGUGUAGCGGUGAAAUGCGUAGAUAUCUGGAGGAACACCGGUGGCGAAGGCGGCAUCCUGGACCGGCAUUGACGCUGAGGCGCGAAAGCUAGGGGAGCAAACGGGAUUAGAUACCCCGGUAGUCCUAGCCCUAAACGAUGAAUGCUUGGUGUGGCGGGUAUCGAUCCCUGCCGUGCCGAAGCUAACGCAUUAAGCAUUCCGCCUGGGGAGUACGGUCGCAAGGCUGAAACUCAAAUGAAUUGACGG
rnacentral:rRNA from 1 species